UGACGUCACGAACCGAGUCUGAGAUUGCGGAGUUAAAAACCGGCCGGAAACGCCGGGGCGCGGAAAAGUCGCUGCGUCAUUCUCGGCCUUCGCACCUCCCCUUAGCCACGGGGCAAGUACGAGCGCUGAUUGGGCCUGAACCGUAACGUAGGUUAUAAUACCCGGCACGGGAUUGGCAGCAGGGUGCGGACGCUGACUAGCCAGCUCCAGCGAUUGGCUGUAUUUGAAGGGUUGUUUUUAAUCCUGUGAUCCAUUGACCAGCUAUGCUUUGAGGCAAAGAACUCUUGAGAUUGGGGUGAGGGAUCUUCCCAUCUUCCUGAGAGAGAAGGUGAGGGGCAAGCUGGAAAGUGAUUGGUGAGCAAAUGGCCCACUGUAUAAGGUAAAAAGGCAAGGCUUGCCAAACAUCAAGGGAGUGGAGUCUUCCUUCUUCUGUGGAGGUUUGUGGUUGGGGGAAGAACACAGGGCCUCUGAUGGAAAAAACUGCUGAGCCAUGUCUAGAUUUGACCGAUGGGUGAUGAAACUUCCUCUUAGGGACAGGCGUGUAUAUCCCCAGUGAGCAGAAGGUAGCUCAGGAAUCCUUCAGGCUUUGGAGGGACUUGUCCAUCUUCUGACUGAAGAGGUGCAGUUCACUGAAUGAUUCUGCUGGAGAGGUGCUGCAGUUACACCUUUUGCCCACCAAGGGCUGCUGUGGUGCCAGAAGAGAGGGCAGCUGGCCAGCAGAGAGGCUGUGUUCCUCACAGCAGAGCCGUCAGAUUUUUUUGGCACAGAAUUCCCCCAGGAGUAAAAUUCCCCCAGGUGGGGAAGAGGGAGCCAACUUGACAAGCAGAGGAAGGUGGAGGAGGCCUACCAGUCCUCUGCAGGGAAAGUCCAAGGUGCAUGUGCACCCACACGUGCUUGCGACAGACUCUCUGCUGCAGUAAUCCCAGGGGAGGCUGGUGGAGGCAGGCAGGCAAGCAAGCAGAUGGCAGUCAGCAGGAGCAGCAGUGGGGGAGUGCUCCAUGAUGCUCUCCCCUCCCUAGCAGCAACAAAAACUCAGCAACAGCCUCCUUCAGCAGCAAUGGCAAGCUCUGCCCAGAGUCACAGGAUGCAGUGGGAAUGAGCCAGGGGACUGCAGGAAGGGAAAAGAUGGCAUCAUGGCUAAGGAAGAUGAAUGCGAACUAGAUUCUAUCCCUGCUUCUGCAACAGAAUCCGUGUGUGAUGCUGGGCAAUUCAUCCAAACCAAACUUUUUGUAACUGGGCAUUAAUUGUGUGUUCCUCAUUUUUUAGGACUCAACUUGAAACACCUGAUGUUGAAUUUGAAAAAGUGGUGAGUGUUCAUAGUUGCAAAUGAAAUCAGUGGGAGCUGUGCGCUGAAUAUAAACAAAAAACAAAAAUGAAUAAAAAAGCUACCACAACAGUGAUAAGUACUGGGGCGAGGGAGGAAAAACAAAACACAAAAAAACAAACCCUAUGUUUCUCAGAUUGGGCACUCACCAUUAGUUUGACAAUUCUGGCCUUACUUUCUGUGCCUCUGUUAUCAUCCCCACUUUACACCACCAUCCAAUCUCAUGUGUGUUGUGAAGAUAAAUACAUUAAUACUUGUGAAAUACUCAGAUAUUAUGGUGACAGCACCACACUAAUACGCAGAUGUAAUUAAUAAAUUUGCAUGUACAGUUUGGAUGGUAUGCACUGAAUAAGACCUAGGGUUAUACACUGAAUGAGGCAGGGGUUCUGUGGCAAGGGGGCUGAGCUAAGGCUGUCUUAACCUUAAUUCUGUCAUUUUGUAAGUUUUUAAUUAAUGACUUUGAAAUCUGAAG